ACUGCGAAUGGCUCAUUAUAUAAGUUAUCGUUUAUUUGAUAGCACCUUACUACUUGGAUAACCGUGGUAAUUCUAGAGCUAAUACAUGCUGCGAUCCCCGACUUUCGGAAGGGGUGUAUUUAUUAGAUUAAAAACCAAUGCCCCCCGGGCUCUCUGGUGAUUCAUGAUAACUUGGCGAAUCGCACGGCCUUGCGCUGGCGAUGGUUCAUUCAAAUUUCUUCCCUAUCAACUUUCGAUGUUUGGGUAGUGGCCAAACAUGGUUGCAACGGGUAACGGAGGGUUAGGGCUCGACCCCGGAGAAGGAGCCUGAGAAACGGCUACUACAUCCAAGGAAGGCAGCAGGCGCGCAAAUUACCCAAUCCCGACGCGGGGAGGUAGUGACAAUAAAUACUGAUACAGGGCUCUUUCGGGUCUUGUAAUUGGAAUGAGUACAAUUUAAAUCCCUUAACGAGGAACAAUUGGAGGGCAAGUCUGGUGCCAGCAGCCGCGGUAAUUCCAGCUCCAAUAGCGUAUAUUAAAGUUGUUGUGGUUAAAAAGCUCGUAGUUGAACCUUGGGCCUGGCUGGCCGGUCCGCCUCACCGCGUGCACUGGUCCGGCCGGGCCUUUCCCUCUGUGGAACCCCAUGCCCUUCGCUGGGCGUGGCGGGGAGACAGGACUUUUACUUUGAAAAAAUUAGAGUGCUCCAGGCAGGCCUAUGCUCGAAUACAUUAGCAUGGAAUAAUGAAAUAGGACGCGCGGUUCUAUUUUGUUGGUUUCUAGGACCGCCGUAAUGAUCAAUAGGGACAGUCGGGGGCAUCAGUAUUCAAUUGUCAGAGGUGAAAUUCUUGGAUUUAUUGAGGACUCACUACUUGCGAAAGCAUUUGCUAAGGAUGUUUUCAU
rnacentral:rRNA from 1 species